UUAAGCGACUAAGCGUACACGGUGGAUGCCCUGGCAGUCAGAGGCGAUGAAGGACGUGCUAAUCUGCGAAAAGCGUCGGUAAGGUGAUAUGAACCGUUAUAACCGGCGAUGUCCGAAUGGGGAAACCCAGUGUGAUUCGUCACACUAUCGUUAACUGAAUACAUAGGUUAACGAGGCGAACCGGGGGAACUGAAACAUCUAAGUACCCCGAGGAAAAGAAAUCAACCGAGAUUCCCCCAGUAGCGGCGAGCGAACGGGGAGCAGCCCAGAGUCUGAAUCAGCUUGUGUGUUAGUGGAACGGUCUGGAAAGUCCGACGGUACAGGGUGAUAGUCCCGUACACCAAAAUGCACAGGUUGUGAACUCGAAGAGUAGGGCGGGACACGUGGUAUCCUGUCUGAAUAUGGGGGGACCAUCCUCCAAGGCUAAAUACUCCUGACUGACCGAUAGUGAACCAGUACCGUGAGGGAAAGGCGAAAAGAACCCCGGCGAGGGGAGUGAAAAAGAACCUGAAACCGUGUACGUACAAGCAGUGGGAGCACCUUCGGGUGUGACUGCGUACCUUUUGUAUAAUGGGUCAGCGACUUAUAUUCUGUAGCAAGGUUAACCGUAUAGGGGAGCCGCAGGGAAACCGAGUCUUAACUGGGCGUUAAGUUGCAGGGUAUAGACCCGAAACCCGGUGAUCUAGCCAUGGGCAGGUUGAAGGUUGGGUAACACUAACUGGAGGACCGAACCGACUAAUGUUGAAAAAUUAGCGGAUGACUUGUGGCUGGGGGUGAAAGGCCAAUCAAACCGGGAGAUAGCUGGUUCUCCCCGAAAGCUAUUUAGGUAGCGCCUCGUGAAUUCAUCUUCGGGGGUAGAGCACUGUUUCGGCUAGGGGGUCAUCCCGACUUACCAACCCGAUGCAAACUACGAAUACCGAAGAAUGUUAUCACGGGAGACACACGGCGGGUGCUAACGUCCGUCGUGAAGAGGGAAACAACCCAGACCGCCAGCUAAGGUCCCAAAGUCAUGGUUAAGUGGGAAACGAUGUGGGAAGGCACAGACAGCCAGGAUGUUGGCUUAGAAGCAGCCAUCAUUUAAAGAAAGCGUAAUAGCUCACUGGUCGAGUCGGCCUGCGCGGAAGAUGUAACGGGGCUAAACCAUGCACCGAAGCUGCGGCAGCGACACUAUGUGUUGUUGGGUAGGGGAGCGUUCUGUAAGCCUGCGAAGGUGUGCUGUGAGGCAUGCUGGAGGUAUCAGAAGUGCGAAUGCUGACAUAAGUAACGAUAAAGCGGGUGAAAAGCCCGCUCGCCGGAAGACCAAGGGUUCCUGUCCAACGUUAAUCGGGGCAGGGUGAGUCGACCCCUAAGGCGAGGCCGAAAGGCGUAGUCGAUGGGAAACAGGUUAAUAUUCCUGUACUUGGUGUUACUGCGAAGGGGGGACGGAGAAGGCUAUGUUAGCCGGGCGACGGUUGUCCCGGUUUAAGCAUGUAGGCUGGUUGUCCAGGCAAAUCCGGAUAAUCAAGGCUGAGGUGUGAUGACGAGGCACUACGGUGCUGAAGUAACAAAUGCCCUGCUUCCAGGAAAAGCCUCUAAGCAUCAGGUAACAUCAAAUCGUACCCCAAACCGACACAGGUGGUCAGGUAGAGAAUACCAAGGCGCUUGAGAGAACUCGGGUGAAGGAACUAGGCAAAAUGGUGCCGUAACUUCGGGAGAAGGCACGCUGGUGUGUAGGUGAAGUCCCUGCGGAUGGAGCUGAGACCAGUCGAAGAUACCAGCUGGCUGCAACUGUUUAUUAAAAACACAGCACUGUGCAAACACGAAAGUGGACGUAUACGGUGUGACGCCUGCCCGGUGCCGGAAGGUUAAUUGAUGGGGUUAUCCGUAAGGAGAAGCUCUUGAUCGAAGCCCCGGUAAACGGCGGCCGUAACUAUAACGGUCCUAAGGUAGCGAAAUUCCUUGUCGGGUAAGUUCCGACCUGCACGAAUGGCGUAAUGAUGGCCAGGCUGUCUCCACCCGAGACUCAGUGAAAUUGAACUCGCUGUGAAGAUGCAGUGUACCCGCGGCAAGACGGAAAGACCCCGUGAACCUUUACUAUAGCUUGACACUGAACAUUGAGCCUUGAUGUGUAGGAUAGGUGGGAGGCUUUGAAGCGUGGACGCCAGUCUGCGUGGAGCCAACCUUGAAAUACCACCCUUUAAUGUUUGAUGUUCUAACGUUGGCCCCUGACCGGGGUUGCGGACAGUGUCUGGUGGGUAGUUUGACUGGGGCGGUCUCCUCCCAAAGCGUAACGGAGGAGCACGAAGGUUAGCUAAUCCUGGUCGGACAUCAGGAGGUUAGUGCAAUGGCAUAAGCUAGCUUGACUGCGAGCGUGACGGCGCGAGCAGGUGCGAAAGCAGGUCAUAGUGAUCCGGUGGUUCUGAAUGGAAGGGCCAUCGCUCAACGGAUAAAAGGUACUCCGGGGAUAACAGGCUGAUACCGCCCAAGAGUUCAUAUCGACGGCGGUGUUUGGCACCUCGAUGUCGGCUCAUCACAUCCUGGGGCUGAAGUAGGUCCCAAGGGUAUGGCUGUUCGCCAUUUAAAGUGGUACGCGAGCUGGGUUUAGAACGUCGUGAGACAGUUCGGUCCCUAUCUGCCGUGGGCGCUGGAGAAUUGAGGGGGGCUGCUCCUAGUACGAGAGGACCGGAGUGGACGCAUCACUGGUGUUCGGGUUGUCAUGCCAAUGGCACUGCCCGGUAGCUAAAUGCGGAAGAGAUAAGUGCUGAAAGCAUCUAAGCACGAAACUUGCCCCGAGAUGAGUUCUCCCUGAGACUUUAAGUCUCCUGAAGGAACGUUGAAGACGACGACGUUGAUAGGCCGGGUGUGUAAGCGCAGCGAUGCGUUGAGCUAACCGGUACUAAUGAACCGUGAGGCUUAACCUU
rnacentral:rRNA from 1 species